AUGGCUGGAGGAAUGUGCCCUACAGGUAUAAAAAAAUAUUGUUGAUGAAUGAAAUAUACUCCUCGCAAAGGAGGCCUUUAGCCUUUGCAUUAUUAUCACAAUGAAUCCCUAUAUCGACCAGUCAGGCAGUGUGUUUAAAAGGGCUCAGUUUUUAUCGGAGCCAUGAAAUUAUUUUUAAAAUCUUUUUUUUCUUACUUAACCAGGAGGAAGAGCUGAUAGUGGAGGUGAGCGCCGACACCCGCCCCUCCCACUACCAGGAAUCUUUAGAUGAGAGCCCUCAGCUUAACACCAGUGAGAGGGAACGAGAUCAAACAGAUUCCAACAUCAUUGAAUCUGUCGUGGAGGAGCCCACGGAAGAGCCCAAGCCACC